rnacentral:lncRNA from 1 species
AGGCAAGUAGAAAGAUAGAUCAAGAUCAAUUCAUUUUGCCUAAAUAGAGAUAUCUUUCUCUUCUCCUUUUUACAAAUUUAUUCAACUUUCAAUUUUUAAAGAUGAUUGUGAACGACAAAUCUGAAAUUUCUUUUCAAUAAUACCCAAAAACAAUUUUAUGCAGUAUUCCAAACAUUCAAUCAAAUUGUCCAAGCAUGGAGCAUUACAAAAUAUUGAGAACCCAUA